UUUCGGUCGAGAUUCGUGUACUGUGUUUCGGGCCUGCAUCGAGCAUGUGAAUUUCUACACAUUUACUGUCUCGUCUCUAGUGAUUGAACAUGUUAUAAUUUGAAACCAUAAAUUGUGCUCGUUCCAUCAUCUUCAACUCGAUGAAAUAUGGAUUUCGCGUGGGAGACGCGUGGGACAGGACACAAACACGGAAGGAACAAUACAUGUAACGCAUAGAAGAGAGUAGGAUCGAACCGUGAGGACGACUAACGGUGUCGUUUAGAUUUUUUUCUGAAAUUCAGCUCUUGGCGAAGUAACUGUCUAGUGUUAAUGCACAUGCUACCUCCAGCCUGUUCAGUGCUUAUAUAAUUAUUCUAACGUCAGGUGCAGCUCUGAAAGCGAACCAGUCAAACUACUUAUCAAACUUAUGAGGGUUCAGCAUUGCUGGAAUUCGAAUCGUGACCAUUCCUCAUCGUAGACGAGCCAACCACCAGUCCGCAGAGGUUGUCGACCUGUCCUACAAUUUUUUUAUUUCACCGUUUCUUUUGUGCGAACUUGUGGCUUUCCCUUCAGGACGCGCCUUCCACCUCGCGGUGUUCCAUUUACACGCGAUUCUUGCCAGAGCUGACAGGUUUGCACAUGGAGACAAGUGGAACACUGUCCUGGAAUUCUGAGACGAGGAACGUGUAGAAGGUGACUAUAGUGUUUCGAGGUCCACAGAGCAAUAAAAACACGCUAACAAGCAAUGGCGAUUUAAUUUUUCCAUUUAUGGCAUUGCAAGGUUCGCCAUAAUCAUAGCCCUCUGUAAAAUUGUCGUAAGUAAUAAAAUCUAAGGACACCGUAGGAAUAUACAAUUUUCAACAUUCGCGACGUAUCAGGUUUUCUCUGGUAGCGCAGUAUGUUCCUCGGUAACAUUCCCUAGUAUCAUAGACGGUGUUAUGAUUUUACGACACAAUCGUCGUCGCUGGUAACAACGUUGUUCGUCAGAAAAAUAUCAAGGGCAGUAAAACGCGACGAGCCUUCCCGAGGAGGCGAUCGUGUUUCGCGAUGUCGUCUAGACUAUUACGCUAAUAAAGCUCUAAUAUUCAAUUCUA